rnacentral:rRNA from 1 species
UUCUAUUAAUAACUUAUUAAAAGAGUUGGAAAAUACGAACAAUAGUUUAAACACCAAAGAAUUUGGCGGUAUCUUAUUUAAUUAGAGGAACCUGUCCCAUAAUCGAGUAGCCCACGAAAGUCUUACCUAGCUUUGAAACUCAGUUAGUGUACUGCCGUCUCAAGUAUACCUUUAUGAGAGUAUACAAUAAAUUAUAGUACUAUAAAACGUCAGGUCAAAGUGCAGCUUAUAGUUAGGAUGGAGAUGGGUUACAAACUUAAUAGAGAUAUGGAAAAAUAGAUUAAAAAUAUUUUGAAAGUGGAUUUAAUAGUAAUUAAAUAGAAUUUUAAUGAAUAUAAUACU